GGCGGGGGAGCAGUAAUGGGGGUAUGGGGAGGGCUCCUAGAUUAUUUGGUAACAGAGGGAAGGCCAGUAGAUGCUUUCCUGAGUUUGAGCUGCAGCCCCAGCUGCUGUGCUAACACCGGGCAGUUGUACUUUGGAGUCGGAACCAGGCUGACAGUGCUGGAUGACCUGAACAAGGUAACUCCUCCAAAGGUGACUGUGUUUCAGCCAUCUGAGGAAGAGAUCGAGGAGAAGGGAAAGGCCACACUGGUCUGUCUGGCCACAGGCUUCUACCCUGACCUUGUGGAGCUGAGCUGGUGGGUGAAUGGGCAGCAGACACAAGUUGGGGUCAGCACAGACCCUCAGCCAUCCAAGGAGCAGCCUGAUAACAACUUCUCCAACUACUCGAUGAGCAGCCGCCUCCGGGUUUCUGCUCCCUUCUGGCGCAAUCCCAAGAACAGUUUCCGUUGCCAAGUAUUGUUCCAUGGGAUCUCAGAGGAUGAGCCCUGGACCGGUAACACAAGCAAACCCAUCACCCAGAAUGUCAGUGACCAGAUCUGGGGAAAGGCAGAUUGUGGAGUCACCUCUGAGUCUUAUCAGCGUAGUAUCCAGUCUGCCACCUUCUUGUAUGAGAUCCUGCUGGGGAAGGCCAUGCUGUACGGCCUGCUGGUCAGUGCCCUGGUGUGGAGAACCAUGGCCAAGAAAAAACAUUCUUGAAGUCAGCUGUGGACCUGGAAGCAGGGAACCAGGAGCCCGGGGCCUUCAUCCUCUCAUCAGCCCAGCUUGGCUUCUCCUUUAUUCAUUUCCAGCCUGCAUUCCGGAAGAGGUGCUCUUCCUUCUCUCCUCAUCUUCAUCCCUCAUAGAUUUCCUCAAAGAGAACUACACAAGCCAAAAGGGACAAAAGCGGUGUAUUAAUCUUAAAGCAAUAAAAAUGUCCUGGUGUGAUCUCACUCAA